rnacentral:rRNA from 1 species
AGAGUUUGAUCCUGGCUCAGGAUGAACGCUAGCGGUGUGCCUAACACAUGCAAGUCGUGCGAUCGAGCCGGACUAAUCACCCUUCGGGGUGUGAAGACUGGUGACGGAGCGGCGGACUGGUGAGUAACACGUGGCUAACCUACCUUCUUGACGGGGAUAACUAUUCGAAAGAAUAGCUAAUACCCGAUAUUGUUGAAGAUCGAUGGAUCUUCAGCCAAAGGCGGCCUAGUCGUCACAAGAGGAUGGGGCUGCGUCCUAUUAGCUUGUUGGUAAGGUAAUGGCUUACCAAGGCGAUGAUGGGUAGCUGGUCUGAGAGGAUGAUCAGCCACAUUGGGACUGAGAUACGGCCCAGACUCCUACGGGAGGCAGCAGUGGGGAAUAUUUCACAAUGGGCGAAAGCCUGAUGGAGCAACACCGCGUGGGGGAUGAAUGCCUUCGGGUUGUAAACCCCUUUUCUGGGGGAAGAAUAAGGUCGGGAGGGAAUGCCCGUCCGAUGACGGUACUCCAGGAAUAAGGAUCGGCUAACUUCGUGCCAGCAGCCGCGGUAAGACGAAGGAUCCGAGUGUUAUCCGGAAUUACUGGGCGUAAGGGCGUCUAGGCGGCCAAGUAAGUCACCCGUGAAAGUCCGAGGCUUAACCUCGGAAUGUCGGAUGAAACUGCUUGACUUGGGUUCAGGAGAGGAGGGUGGAACUCACAGAGUAGCGGUGGAAUGCGUAGAUACUGUGAGGUACCCCGAUGGCGAAGCAACCCUCUGGCCUGUUACCGACGCUGAAGCGCGAAAGCGUGGGGAGCAAAGGGGAUUAGAUACCCCCGUAGUCCACGCCGCAAACGAUGUUCACUUGGUGUCGGUCGCUGAUACAGAUCGGUGCCGGAGCUAACGUGUUAGUGAACCGCCUGGGGAGUACGGCCGCAAGGCUA